rnacentral:rRNA from 1 species
UACGAAGGGGGCUAGCGUUGCUCGGAAUCACUGGGCGUAAAGGGUGCGUAGGCGGGUCUUUAAGUCAGGGGUGAAAUCCUGGAGCUCAACUCCAGAACUGCCUUCGAUACUGGGGACCUUGAGUUCGGGAGAGGUGAGUGGAACUGCGAGUGUAGAGGUGAAAUUCGUAGAUAUUAGCUAGAACACCAGUGGCGAAGGCGGCCAACUGGUCCGGUACUGACGCUGAGGUGCGAAAGCGUGGGGAGCAAACAGG